rnacentral:tRNA from 1 species
UCCCUUUUGGCUUAGAUCGUAAAGUAUCUGCCUGCAAUGCAGGAGACUUGGGUUUGAUCCCUGGGUUGGGAA